UNCUCUUGNNUNNNCNGAAUUCGGCAGAGAUGCCUUAGUGCCUUCGGGAACUGUGAGACAGGUGCUGCAUGGCUGUCGUCAGCUCGUGUUGUGAAAUGUUGGGUUAAGUCCCGCAACGAGCGCAACCCUUAUCCUUUGUUGCCAGCACGUAAUGGUGGGAACUCAAAGGAGACUGCCGGUGAUAAACCGGAGGAAGGUGGGGAUGACGUCAAGUCAUCAUGGCCCUUACGAGUAGGGCUACACACGUGCUACAAUGGCGUAUACAAAGAGAAGCGAACUCGCGAGAGCCAGCGGACCUCAUAAAGUACGUCGUAGUCCGGAUCGGAGUCUGCAACUCGACUCCGUGAAGUCGGAAUCGCUAGUAAUCGUAGAUCAGAAUGCUACGGUGAAUACGUUCCCGGG
rnacentral:rRNA from 1 species